rnacentral:rRNA from 1 species
UAAUAGUGUAUAUUAAAGUUGUUGCAGUUAAAAAGCUCGUAGUUGAAUGUUGGUGUCGAACGAGCGGUCAGCUUCGGCUGUACUGCUCUCUCGACUCCUUCCUUCUGUGGACUACGUCGCACUUUACUGUGUGGCGCUAGGACGCAGAUCGUUUACUGUGAAAAAAUUAGAGUGUUCAAAGCAGGCCGUACGCUUGAAUACAUUAGCAUGGAAUAAUGGAAUAGGACGUCGGGCCUAUUUUGUUGGUUCUAGGACCGUCGUAAUGAUUAAUAGGGACAGUUGGGGCCGUUUAUAUUCCGUAGUCAGAGGUGAAAUUCUUGGAUCUACGGAAGAUAAACUACUGCGAAAGCAUUCGGCAAGGAUGUUUUCGUUAA